rnacentral:rRNA from 2 species
GGGUUGUGAGGUUAAGCGACUAAGCGUACACGGUGGAUGCCCUGGCAGUCAGAGGCGAUGAAGGGCGUGCUAAUCUGCGAUAAGCGCCGGUAAGGUGAUAUGAACCGUUAUAACCGGCGAUACCCGAAUGGGGAAACCCAGUGUGAUUCGUCACACUAUCAUUAACUGAAUCCAUAGGUUAAUGAGGCGAACCGGGGGAACUGAAACAUCUAAGUACCCCGAGGAAAAGAAAUCAACCGAGAUUCCCCCAGUAGCGGCGAGCGAACGGGGAGGAGCCCAGAGCCUGAAUCAGCAUGUGUGUUAGUGGAAGCGUCUGGAAAGGCGCGCGAUACAGGGUGACAGCCCCGUACACAAAAGCGCAUAUGCUGUGAGCUCGAUGAGUAGGGCGGGACACGUGGUAUCCUGUCUGAAUAUGGGGGGACCAUCCUCCAAGGCUAAAUACUCCUGACUGACCGAUAGUGAACCAGUACCGUGAGGGAAAGGCGAAAAGAACCCCGGCGAGGGGAGUGAAAAAGAACCUGAAACCGUGUACGUACAAGCAGUGGGAGCCCCACCACUAAGCCAGUGGUGAACUCCACAUACGCAUCCUUUGCUGAGGAGACGGUUAACGGAGCGAAAGCGACGUUCAACCUCAAAAGAAGCAGAGGGGGCUUAGUGGUGGGGUGACUGCGUACCUUUUGUAUAAUGGGUCAGCGACUUAUAUUCUGUAGCAAGGUUAACUGUAUAGGGGAGCCGGAGGGAAACCGAGUCUUAACCGGGCGUUAAGUUGCAGGGUAUAGACCCGAAACCCGGUGAUCUAGCCAUGGGCAGGUUGAAGGUUGGGUAACACUAACUGGAGGACCGAACCGACUAAUGUUGAAAAAUUAGCGGAUGACCUGUGGCUGGGGGUGAAAGGCCAAUCAAACCGGGAGAUAGCUGGUUCUCCCCGAAAGCUAUUUAGGUAGCGCCUCGUGAAUUCAUCUCCGGGGGUAGAGCACUGUUUCGGCUAGGGGGCCAUCCCGGCUUACCAACCCGAUGCAAACUGCGAAUACCGGAGAAUGUUAUCACGGGAGACACACGGCGGGUGCUAAUGUCCGUCGUGAAGAGGGAAACAACCCAGACCGCCAGCUAAGGUCCCAAAGUCAUGGUUAAGUGGGAAACGAUGUGGGAAGGCCCAGACAGCCAGGAUGUUGGCUUAGAAGCAGCCAUCAUUUAAAGAAAGCGUAAUAGCUCACUGGUCGAGUCGGCCUGCGCGGAAGAUGUAACGGGGCUAAACCAUGCACCGAAGCUGCGGCAGCGACACCGUGUGUUGUUGGGUAGGGGAGCGUUCUGUAA